UACGUAGGGCGCAAGCGUUAUCCGGAAUUAUUGGGCGUAAAGCGCACGUAGGCGGUUCGUUAUGUCGGAUGUGAAAGCCCUUGGCUUAACCGAGGAAGUGCAUCCGAAACUGGCGAGCUAGAGUACGAAAGAGGAUCGCGGAAUUCCCGGUGUAGAGGUGAAAUUCGUAGAUAUCAGGAGGAACACCGGUGGCGAAGGCGGGUCUCUGGGCCGUAACUGACGCUGAGGAGCGAAAGCGUGGGGAGCGAACAGG
rnacentral:rRNA from 1 species